rnacentral:tRNA from 1 species
GCCUCAUUAGCUCAGUGGUUAGAGCAAUGGUUUUGUAAACCAGAGGUCCAGAGUUCAUCUCUCUGAUGAGGCU